ACCCUUUUCAUUUUCCGCAACAUGCCUAUAUACGCUCGUGCCGGUUUCGACCGGCUAUGGUGAUAAAUGGCGGCGUGAAAUAGACGCAGCGGACCCGGGGGCGGUACCCGGCGGCUCCACCAUCCUUCUCGCAACGGCUUGGCCGGAUCGGGAAAGUUGACGGGGCCGAACUAGGAUCGACGUGUGUUCAAAGACGCUGUUUUUGCCCGGGCUGAGUAACCCGUUCAAGGCUCAAAACUCACAAGUGCCAAUGACAAUGACGCACUCGCUCUCGCAGCGUAAUCUGACGGCCUAACGGCCUGAUCUUACAAAGCCAGAACGCGGUUGGACCCACCGGGCAACAGAAGGGAUUCCAGCGGUUCGGGGUGUACCGGGCAACAGAAACACCCCACC
rnacentral:tmRNA from 2 species